rnacentral:lncRNA from 10 species
CAUGAGUGCUGUCAUCAUGUCCACAUCCAGAGUUCAGCUCACGACUGUUGCUCAACCCAGUUUGAGUUACCAGGGCCUUUUGGUAAAGUCUGGAUUUGUAUCCACACCCAGCUGACUUCAAGUCCUUGCCCUAUUGCUUAGGUGGCAGGAGGCUUUAGGCGAAGGAUCCACACUUUCUGCAGCUCAGUUUCUUCACCUUUAAAGUGUUGUUACAAAGACGUGCGACAUCUUAUAUGUUUCACAUAAGGAACACACCUACCACAUCAUAGUGGCUCAGAAAUUGGUUAAGUGAUGGGAGAGAAGGGGAGAACUAUAUGCCAACUGGAGACUUUGAGACAAUGUUCUUGGUCCUUUAUUGUUGCCUGGUGGGAUGGGAUGGUUCACCAAACAUGUGCCAUGAUAGUAAUUUGCUGGACAUACUGUGCAUGAAUCUUCAAC